UCCUCGGCCUCUCAAAGGUCUGGGAUUACAGGCAUGAGCCACUAUGCCCGGCCUCUAUCUGCAUUUUGUGUUCAGUGUACACUUAUCAGUACAUAAAUUAUCUUGGCUAGUCGUCAUUUCUGUUGUCUAUCUCCAACCACCCCCGAAGCCUUUCAUCUCUAGCUCCCAGAGCUGGGGACUUGUCUUGUUUACUGCCGUAUUCCCAAUGCCUAGAGCUCAUGUGGCAUGCAGCAGGCACUGGCUAUGGGUGGAGGUCUCCAGCUCUGCUCCAGCUCCUGUCCCACACGGUAGUAAUUCCAAUAUCCAAUUGAAGAAUAGAAAGGACUCCCCUGACGCACCAUGGGUAUGUAUCAUUUAAGCAAAAACAAAAGACAAAAGACAGUGGAUACUGAACAACCAGAUUCCCGUUUGUAAAACCUUGGAUCCAUAGUUUCCUCUAAUCCCACAGAAGGUUUUCUCAGACUCUGGCUGUCAGAGAGGAGAACUAUGAACUCACCUACUCAUUCAUGCUGCCCAGAACCAGAUGCACAAAGAACAAACAAGUUUCCCAGCAGGACUCAAAAUAGAAGGGAUGGUGACUGCAUGCCUUACCAUUCGGGAUCCUCUUCUUCCCGGAGAACUCCGCGCAGGCAGGCUUGGAGAGGGAAUGAAUUGAUCUGGCAUCGUGAAGAUUUGUUCAGCCUUCCCUGAGUGCAUCUUCUGACUCCUGGGGUAGGUAAGAAAUGGAGGGGCUCCUGGAGUCACCUUCAAGGCAGAUGAAGAGGAGCUAUGGAGGCCCUUUGAAGCAUGGCCCCUGGGCAUGGGAUCUGGUGAGAAACCUCCUUCCCAGCUUUGCCACUGAAACCAUGGAUUUUAAACUUCGGCAGAGUUUCCAAGCUUUCAUUUCCCAUCUAUCAAUAGGGAUAAUAAUAAUAAUAUACCUGUAUGACCUUGUUCACAGGUUUGCUGUCAAGGUCAAAUAAGACAAGCAAAAGUACCUUGUAGAUCCAGUAUUAUACUAGUUAAGAAGAAAGACUGGAGCCCAGUGGUCCGGAUUAAGUCCGCACACCUCCCCCAGCUCCACUAUGCACUUGUUGGGUGACCUUGGACAAGUUAUUUAACCUCCCUAUAACUCAGUUUCUUCCUUUACAAAAUAAGAAUGAGACUAGGACUUUCAUCAUAUGGUUAUGAGGAUUCAAAUGAGUUAAAUGUAAAGCACUCAGGCCAGGCGUGGUGGCUCACACCUGUAAUCCCAGCACUUUGGGAGGCUGAGGCAGCAAGAUUG
rnacentral:lncRNA from 1 species